rnacentral:rRNA from 1 species
GACAGAGGGUGCAAGCGUUAAUCGGAAUUACUGGGCGUAAAGGGCGCGUAGGCGGAUAGAUAAGUGAGAUGUGAAAGCCCUGGGCUCAACCUAGGAAUGGCAUUUCAAACUGUUUAUCUGGAGUAGGGUAGAGGGGUGUGGAAUUCACGGUGUAGCGGUGAAAUGCGUAGAUAUCGUGAGGAACAUCGAAGGCGAAGGCAGCACUCUGGGCCCAUACUGACGCUGAGGCGCGAAAGCGUGGGGAGCGAACAGGAUUAGAAACCCCCGUAGUCC